GACGAGGCCUUCUGCUGAGAUUUGAUGUAACACGAACUAGACAAACAAUUGGAAUCAUAUCACAUCGUCAAAGUGUCGUGGCCCAAUGUGCACUGUAGAAGAACCCUAUCAGGCCUGUGACCCAUUUUUGGGUCUUGACCCACCAGUUCGGAAGUACAGCUCUAAACGAUCUUCUCCAUUUGAGGGCUUCUCAGGCAUCUGGUUCUCAUGCAGAGUGAGUGGAGUGAAAAAUGAGAGGAAAGAAAGAGAGAAAUGGAUUGUGACGGAGGUAGCGAGGGUAAUAGGAUUGAGCCUGGACUCUGCGGGGUUGAGCUGCCCUCCUAACCGGACUCACUUCCUCUUCUCUCCUCUUCCCCACUGCGAGGUCAACCAGUCGUCCAUCAGAUCGCUGGCUAAUCCUUUCACAAUGAUUGAGUUGGACAAGUUUCUGAGACCAAAAGCGUAAAGAAGACGAUGAAUGAAAGAGAGAUCACACCCAAUAGAUGAGGUGAGUGAGGAUCUCAUGAGAUGUUUGUUGCCUGAAUGGACUGAAGCUUAAUGUGCAGGAAAUGAACAGGCUGGCAUGUUAAGUUCAGUCUUGUGUAUGUGCUAUGUGGCACAGCAUGAGGAAGAGGGGCCCACAGUACCAUGAUAAGGCUAAGAAGACAGGUACGCAUGAAAGUAUAGGAUUAAAUAAGGCACACAAAGAAAAAAAAAAACCUUGAAUGCUAACCACUUAUUUACUUGUAAUUUGCUUAUUUUGCUAUUUGCUUCUUUAAUGGUAUUUAUGAAUAAACUUAUGUAAAAAG
ensembl:processed_transcript